CCUACGGGGGGCAGCAGUGAGGAAUAUUGGUCAAUGGGCGGGAGCCUGAACCAGCCAAGUCGCGUGAGGGAAGAAGGUACUUUGUAUUGUAAACUUCUUUUGUCGGGGAACAAAAGCGGAGACGCGUCUCCGUAUGAGUGUACCCGAAGAAAAAGCAUCGGCUAACUCCGUGCCAGCAGCCGCGGUAAUACGGAGGAUGCGAGCGUUAUCCGGAUUUAUUGGGUUUAAAGGGUGCGCAGGCGGGAGAUCAAGUCAGCGGUAAAAUUGAGGGGCUCAACCCCUGCCGGCCGUUGAAACUGGUUUUCUUGAGUGGGAGAGAAGUAUGCGGAAUUCGUGGUGUAGCGGUGAAACGCAUAGAUAUCACGAAGAACUCCGAUUGCGAAGGCAGCAUACCGACUCCAUACUGACGCUGAGGCACGAAAGCGUGGGGAUCGAACAGGAUUAGAUACCCGGGUAGUC
rnacentral:rRNA from 1 species